UGCCCUUGACAUCUGCGGAACCUGGGAGAGAUCUCGGGGUGCCUUCGGGAACCGCAAGACAGGUGCUGCAUGGCUGUCGUCAGCUCGUGUCGUGAGAUGUUGGGUUAAGUCCCGCAACGAGCGCAACCCUUGUCCUUAGUUGCCAGCGUUAAGUCGGGUACUCUAAGGAGACUGCCGGUGACAAAUCGGAGGAAGGUGGGGAUGACGUAGACCUUGGACC
rnacentral:misc_RNA from 1 species